AUCGCUUCUCAGCCUUUUGGCUAAGAUCAAGUGUAAAACAGUAUCAUGAAAUAGGAAAAACUAUUGCCUGAGUGAAAAUCAGUUGAUGUAAUACAACUUUAUGGAGGUGUAAUUUAAUCCAUAAGGAAUUCUUUUAUAAAUCAGAGGCUGUUAUGUCUUGGAAUUGUUAUAAAGAGCUAUGAACCAU
ensembl:snRNA U2 U2 spliceosomal RNA